GACGAGGGAUCCUAGCGUUGUUCGGAAUUAUUGGGCGUAAAGCGGAUGUAGGUGGCUUUGUAAGUCAGGUGUGAAAGCCUGGGGCUCAACCCCAGAAGUGCAUUUGAUACUGCGAAGCUUGAGUGUGGGAGAGGAUAGUAGAAUUCCUGGUGUAGUGGUGAAAUACGUAGAUAUCAGGAGGAAUACCGGAGGCGAAGGCGGCUAUCUGGCCCAACACUGACACUGAGAUCCGAAAGCGUGGGGAUCAAACAGG
rnacentral:rRNA from 1 species